CGGGUGAGUAACACGUAUGCAACCUGCCGUCUACUCUUGGCCAGCCUUCUGAAAGGAAGAUUAAUCCAGGAUGGCAUCAUGAGUUCACAUGUCCGCAUGAUUAAAGGUAUUUUCCGGUAGACGAUGGGGAUGCGUUCCAUUAGAUAGUAGGCGGGGUAACGGCCCACCUAGUCAACGAUGGAUAGGGGUUCUGAGAGGAAGGUCCCCCACAUUGGAACUGAGACACGGUCCAA
rnacentral:rRNA from 1 species